GUCGAACGGUAGCGCGAGAGAGCUUGCUCUCUUGCUGACGAGUGGCGGACGGGUGAGUAAUGUAUGGGAAUCUGCCCGAUAGCGGGGGAUAACUACUCGAAAGAGUGGCUAAUACCGCAUACGCCCUACGGGACCAAAGGGGGGGAUCGCAAGACCUCUCACUAUUGGAUGAACCGAUAUGGGAUUAGCUAGUUGGUGGGGUAAAGGCUCACCAAGGGCAACGAUCCCUACUGGGUUUGAAAGGAUGAUCGCCCCCCUGGGGACUGAAACCCGGCCCAACUUCCUACGGGAGGCGCCGUGGGGGAUUUUUGCCCAUUGGGGAAACCCUUGAUCCAGCCCUUGCCGCGUGUAUGAUGAAAGGCCUUCGGGUUGUAAAGUACUUUUGGCAGAGAAGGAAGGUGAUCCGGUUAAUAACCUUAUCAAUUGACGGUUACCUGCAGAAUAAAGCACCGGCUAACUACGUGCCAGCAGCCGCGGUAAUACGGAGGGUGCAAGCGUUAAUCGGAUUUACUGGGCGUAAAGCGCACGCAGGCGGUUGAUAAAGUCAGAUGUGAAAUCCCCGGGCUCAACCUCGGGAACUGCAUUUUGUUACUGCCUCGGCUAGAGUAUGUGUAGAGGGGGGGUAGAAAUUCCACUGUGUAGCAGGUGAAAUGCGUAGAGAUGUGGAGGAAAUACCGAUGGCGAAGGCGGCCCCCUGGGAUAAUGACUGACGCUCAGACUGCGAAAGCGUGGGGAGCAAAACAGGAUUAGAUACCCUGGUAGUCCACGCCUGUAAACGAUGUCAACUAUGCUGUGUGGGUGCCCUUAGAGCCUUAGUAUUCGGAGAGUAAAGCGCUGAAAUUGCGACCCCCGGGGGAGAAUACGUGCCCAAGAGUUAAACUCUCAAGUAAUUUAGAGGGGACCCCGACACAACGGGGUGAUGACAGUGGGUUAUAUUUGAUGUGACACCGCAAAAGACCUUUCACUACACCUCUUGCAUGUCUAGGAAAUCUGUAUGAGAUAUGGACUGAGUCUCGCUAGAGAACCGGAACACAGUGCUGAGCAUGGACUGUCGUCACAAGCCUGUCUGGAAUUGUCGGUAGUCGCGACUAGGCAUCCUGGUACACUAUAGU
rnacentral:rRNA from 1 species